CUGAACUCUCUUUGCUUCUCGUCUUGUACCAAUAAGGAAAAAGCUUGUGCCAACGAUGGUAAAGGUUUCAUCAUUAAAAUGCUUCCUCUCAUUGUCGUGUAUACUUCAUUCAAGCCCAUAAAAAACUGAGUAAGUCGCAUGUCUAGCUCUGCCUUAUGCAUGUUAUCCUUCGAGCCACAAGUACAAGCACAAGUACACCGACACCUUGCAUUGAGAUUACUCAGCUCUUCCCACAAUCUUUUCAUUCGCGUGUAAUAGGUAGUAAUGUCCAAAGACCCUUGAACUAGAUCAUUAAUUUCCUUUUGGAUUUGAUACAGCUUUGCACCAUUCGUUUGAGCGUAUCGAUCUUCCAAUUCUCUCCACAGUUCUACUGAAUCCUGACAUACUCAACACUAUCAGAAAUUUCAUUUGACAGGGAAUUGAGAAUCCAGGAGGUUACCAUCUUAUCACACCUUUCCCAAUGAUGAAAUUGAGGCGAGUCAGGAGGAGGUUUUCCACAAUCCCCAUUUACAAACCCUAAUUUAUUUUUGACAGAUAGGGCUCUCAAGACGCUUCUUCUCCAUGACCUAUAACCGAUCCCAUCAAAUGGAACUGGUACUAGAAUUACUUCGGGACUAUCGAAAGGAUGAAUGUACAGAGGGCUACUCACAUCGAUGGCGGAUUGGUCGUUUCUGUUCGUACUAGGCGUGACCUCUUCGGUCUGGUUGUUAGUCAUGGAAGUGAAACUAGAUGAUGAAAUUGAUUGAUCUUCUAGCUUGAUCGAUGAAUAAAAUGACUAGUCGUGUGCGGCGCCUUCAACUCACACAGUUCUACAGCUGGAAAUCAGAGAAAUUGAAACCCAACAGAUGAACGAAUGAAAUGAGCUUAGGAGAAGAGAAAUUCCAAUGGAUCUUCACCAAUUGUAUCAACCUCGCUCUGAUACCAUAUCAAGUUUUGCAUCUCGAUCUAGGAUGAAGCUCAAGCAAGAGCUGUAAUGGCGGUUUGGAAUGUGAGAGAGAGAGAGAGAGAAAAUAUCUGCAGAAGCUAAAAUAAGGAGAAUAUC
rnacentral:lncRNA from 1 species